rnacentral:rRNA from 1 species
UACGGAGGGUGCAAGCGUUAUCCGGAUUCACUGGGUUUAAAGCGUGCGCAGGCGGUGAGCUGUGUCCGAUGUGAAAGCCCCGGGCUUAACCUGGGAAUGGCAUUGGAAACUGGCUCGCUGGAGUGUGGCAGAGGGGGGUGGAAUUCCGCGUGUAGCAGUGAAAUGCGUAGAGAUGCGGAGGAACACCGAUGGCGAAGGCAGCCCCCUGGGCUAACACUGACGCUCAGGCACGAAAGCGUGGGGAGCAAACAGG